ensembl:lncRNA
GGAGUGGCCUCUGAUUGCUGUUGCAUUUGCUGCUGCAUCAUAGCAUGACAAACAGGUAAACUUGCUGAAGAUACUAAGAUUUUUUUCUCUUUUCACAGAUCUUCGUCUGACUCACAAACUCAUCCUAAAUUACCAUCCAUCCAAACCACCUUAAGUAACUAGAUGUCCAUCCAAUGGCUUUUGCCAGGAACAUCUUGAUUCUUACACUAGAUUCAGCAGUCUUUCGAGUUGCAUGCACAUGAUGACUUGCAGAUCAGAUGUCUUGCUUUGCUUAGAAGUAGUCACAUUGAUCCAUCUGGAUCUGGUUCGGCUCCUGGCAGUAACCUCCAGACCUCAUUCCAACAUGCCAGUAGUUUUCACCUUUCAGUGUCAGUGCAGAGUCGGUAGCCCUGGGUAAGCUCACUAUUCCGGCUCUCCAGAACAUUCUAAUUACCAGUCCACCCUCAUUAUGUUUGCCAUGUCAUUGUGUGCGGACGAACGAAUGAACAAACGGAGGGAGGGAGGAGAGGCACAGAGAAAGAGAGACUCUUUUUUGAUCUUCGCUUCCAUUAGGACACAUUCCUGGAAAAGUGUGAUCUCUCUUCCCGUGCCUUCGCGAUUGUGUCUUAACGGAGACAUCUACAGCAUUUACAAAAUAAAAUCCUCUGAAUUUAUGCCUCGGUCUGCUCCGUAAUCCCUUACUGCAGACUCCGCACAUCCUCUCUCUCUUGCCGGCCCCGUUCCAAAUGAACUCAUACGUCGGCUGUAUGCAGAUCGCCUGCCUUCUCGCCUCUCAUCGAGGGCCGGCUGAUAGGGCUAAACGGUUGACCUCUGACCUCACGACAACGGGAUGGAGAGAACAGGAAGCUUCUGUGUUAAUCCAGGCAGGCAUCUGACUAGCGCAGGGAAAGACUGGGAGUCCAUAUCAGCCUGACCCCAGCGCACAGCACCUUUAUCUGUUAAUCUACAGCUCUCUUUAACAGCUUGCUGAAUUAACACCCAGGCAGGGCAAGAGGGCUUCCGAUUAACACACAUCAGCCCCUCUGCGUCGAGCACAAAAGAAACGCUGCCUUGUCUUGCUGCCUGUGUAUGUGAGACGUCGUACCGUCUGCC